GGGUAUAUAGCUCAGUGGUUGAGUACCUUCUUAGCGUGCAUGAAGUCCUGGGUUCAAUCCCCAGUUCCUCCA
rnacentral:tRNA from 1 species